AGCACACUUUAUAAUUUAUUUACUUUGUUUCUGGGCAAGAGUCAAAGUUAACAUUUUGGCACAGAUAUAUUUCAUUUAAUUUUCCCCGUACAACAACUCGUCGAAUCGCAGAUAUAAAAAAUAAUAAUAAUAAUCGUUUCAAAGCAACAAAAUAAAUCAUAAAAAAAGACUUCAGAACAUUUCCUGUGAUGUGUUGUGAUAGUUAGAAAUUGAAACGGUUUAAGUGACAGAGAGCAUAAUAACUUAAAACAACAUCGUUGACAAGCAGCUCAAGCGCUCUAAUAAAACAAUGUUCAACUACAGCUGCACUCAGUGUCCCAGGCUAGCAGCUGGUUAUGAGGCUAGCAGCUGGUUAUGAGGCUAGCAGCUGGGUGCCACACUAGCCAAGGGAUAUGAGGCUAGCAGCUGGUUAUGAGGCUAGCAGCUGGGUACCACACUAGCCAAGGGUUAUGAGGCUAGCAGCUGGUACCACACUAGCCAAGGGUUAUGAGGCUAGCAGCUGGUUAUGAGGCUAGCAGCUGGUACCACACUAGCCAAGGGUUAUGAGGCUAGCAGCUGGUGCCACACUAGUAAAGGGUUAUGAGGCUAGCAGCUGGUACCACACUAGCCAAGGGUUAUGAGGCUAGCAGCUGGUACCACACUAGCCAAGGGAUAUGAGGCUAGUAGCUGGUACCACACUAGCCAAGGGUUAUGAGGCUAGCAGCUGGUGCCACACUAGCCAAGGGUUAUGAGGCUAGCAGCUGGUUAUGAGGCUAGCAGCUGGUACCACACUAGCCAAGGGAUAUGAGGCUAGCAGCUGGUUAUGAGGCUAGCAGCUGGUUAUGAGGCUAGCAGCUGGUUAUGAGGCUAGCAGCUGGUUAUGAGGCUAGCAGCUGGUGCCACACUAGCCAAGGGAUAUGAGGCUAGCAGCUGGUGCCACACUAGCCAAGGGUUAUGAGGCUAGCAGCUGGUGCCACACUAGCCAAGGGUUAUGAGGCUAGCAGCUGGUGCCACACUAGUAAAGGGAUAUGAGGCUAGUAGCUGGUACCACACUAGCCAAGGGUUAUGAGGCUAGCAGCUGGUACCACACUAGCCAAGGGUUAUGAGGCUAGCAGCUGGUACCACACUAGCCAAGGGUUAUGAGGCUAGCAGCUGGUACCACACUAGCCAAGGGUUAUGAGGCUAGCAGCUGGUGCCACACUAGCC
rnacentral:lncRNA from 1 species